rnacentral:rRNA from 1 species
UUUUAUGAGAGUUUGAUCCUGGCUCAGGACGAACGCUGGCGGCGUGCCUAAUACAUGCAAGUCGAACGCUUCUUUUUCCACCGGAGCUUGCUCCACCGGAAAAAGAAGAGUGGCGAACGGGUGAGUAACACGUGGGUAACCUGCCCAUCAGAAGGGGAUAACACUUGGAAACAGGUGCUAAUACCGUAUAACAAUCAAAACCGCAUGGUUUUGAUUUGAAAGGCGCUUUCGGGUGUCGCUGAUGGAUGGACCCGCGGUGCAUUAGCUAGUUGGUGAGGUAACGGCUCACCAAGGCCACGAUGCAUAGCCGACCUGAGAGGGUGAUCGGCCACAUUGGGACUGAGACACGGCCCAAACUCCUACGGGAGGCAGCAGUAGGGAAUCUUCGGCAAUGGACGAAAGUCUGACCGAGCAACGCCGCGUGAGUGAAGAAGGUUUUCGGAUCGUAAAACUCUGUUGUUAGAGAAGAACAAGGAUGAGAGUAACUGUUCAUCCCUUGACGGUAUCUAACCAGAAAGCCACGGCUAACUACGUGCCAGCAGCCGCGGUAAUACGUAGGUGGCAAGCGUUGUCCGGAUUUAUUGGGCGUAAAGCGAGCGCAGGCGGUUUCUUAAGUCUGAUGUGAAAGCCCCCGGCUCAACCGGGGAGGGUCAUUGGAAACUGGGAGACUUGAGUGCAGAAGAGGAGAGUGGAAUUCCAUGUGUAGCGGUGAAAUGCGUAGAUAUAUGGAGGAACACCAGUGGCGAAGGCGGCUCUCUGGUCUGUAACUGACGCUGAGGCUCGAAAGCGUGGGGAGCAAACAGGAUUAGAUACCCUGGUAGUCCACGCCGUAAACGAUGAGUGCUAAGUGUUGGAGGGUUUCCGCCCUUCAGUGCUGCAGCUAACGCAUUAAGCACUCCGCCUGGGGAGUACGACCGCAAGGUUGAAACUCAAAGGAAUUGACGGGGGCCCGCACAAGCGGUGGAGCAUGUGGUUUAAUUCGAAGCAACGCGAAGAACCUUACCAGGUCUUGACAUCCUUUGACCACUCUAGAGAUAGAGCUUCCCCUUCGGGGGCAAAGUGACAGGUGGUGCAUGGUUGUCGUCAGCUCGUGUCGUGAGAUGUUGGGUUAAGUCCCGCAACGAGCGCAACCCUUAUUG